GCCCUUCCAUUCGGCUAAAAUCCUGACUAUAUACAUUCUGCUGGCUCAGGCCAGCUAUGGUAAUAAACGGACGGUGUAAUAAACCAUUUGGACCCGGGGGCGGUACCCGGCGCCUCCACCAGAACAUAGCUCAUCCAAAGGCUAUGCUGUGGCGGGGGCGAAAUAGGAUCGACAAGGGUGUAAAGAUCGCUCUUUUACUCGGCAUGAUACCACCGUUAUCGGGUCAAACGAGUAGUUGCAAAUGACAACAAAGCUCAGGGUUACGCUCUCGCUGCUUAAUCGCGGUGCGGGAAACCCAACCUAAGUCCUUAGGGUUAGCACCUUAAGGCGGGGUCCGGAGGCACCUGGCAACAGAAGCCUCCACU
rnacentral:tmRNA from 1 species